rnacentral:lncRNA from 1 species
GGAAGAAGGAAUCAGGAGGCAGAGCACAUGGUUAAAGCAUGAGAUGUGAAACCAGGAAGAACCAGGUCUGAACCUUAGCUCCACCAGUGGUAGCUUCAAACCUUGGUCCUUUCUGAGCCUGCUUCUUCAACCGUAAGGAACUCGGAAACGGGACCCAGAAAGUUGUUUUCUCAAGUGGAUGGAACAACACAAGCAAUCAGUAUCCUGAAACAGGCCCUGUUCCAACAAACUGACCCAGAAAGAGGUUAUACCAAUUAUCUCUCCAGCAAGUAUGAGGACUCCUGUUUCCCUACGUACUCACUACUACAGCAAAGAUAUCAAACAUUGAUACCCACCAAUCUCUGGAUGGAAAAACAAAUCUCAGGGGCCUCACUAUUUUACCCUGGCUGGUUUCGAACUUCUGGGCUCCAGCUACCCCCAAGCCUC